rnacentral:rRNA from 1 species
GAUGAACGCUAGCUACAGGCUUACACAUGCAAGUCGAGGGGCAGCAUGGUCUUAGCUUGCUAAGGCCGAUGGCGACCGGCGCACGGGUGAGUAACACGUAUCCAACCUGCUGUCUACUCUUGGACAGCCUUCUGAAAGGAAGAUUAAUACAAGAUGGCAUCAUGAGUCCGCAUGUUCACAUGAUUAAAGGUAUUCCGGUAGACGAUGGGGAUGCGUUCCAUUAGAUAGUAGGCGGGGUAACGGCCCACCUAGUCUUCGAUGGAUAGGGGUUCUGAGAGGAAGGUCCCCCACAUUGGAACUGAGACACGGUCCAAACUCCUACGGGAGGCAGCAGUGAGGAAUAUUGGUCAAUGGGCGAGAGCCUGAACCAGCCAAGUAGCGUGAAGGAUGACUGCCCUAUGGGUUGUAAACUUCUUUUAUAAAGGAAUAAAGUCGGGUAUGGAUACCCGUUUGCAUGUACUUUAUGAAUAAGGAUCGGCUAACUCCGUGCCAGCAGCCGCGGUAAUACGGAGGAUCCGAGCGUUAUCCGGAUUUAUUGGGUUUAAAGGGAGCGUAGAUGGAUGUUUAAGUCAGUUGUGAAAGUUUGCGGCUCAACCGUAAAAUUGCAGUUGAUACUGGAUAUCUUGAGUGCAGUUGAGGCAGGCGGAAUUCGUGGUGUAGCGGUGAAAUGCUUAGAUAUCACGAAGAACUCCGAUUGCGAAGGCAGCCUGCUAAGCUGC